rnacentral:rRNA from 1 species
GACGAACGAUGGCGGCGUGCCUAAUACAUGCAAGUAGAACGCUGAAGAGAGGAGCUUGCUCUUCUUGGAUGAGUUGCGAACGGGUGAGUAACGCGUAGGUAACCUGCCUUGUAGCGGGGGAUACCUACUGGAAACGAUAGCUAAUACCGCAUAACAAUGGAUGACACAUGUCAUUUAUUUGAAAGGGGCAAUUGCUCCCCUACAAGAUGGACCUGCGUUUUAAUAGCUAAGUAGGUGAGGUAACGGCUCAACUGGGCGACGUUACAUAGCCGACCUGAGAGGUUGAUCGGCCACACUGGUACUGAGACACGGCCCAGACUCCUACGGGAGGCAGCAGUAGGGAAUCUUCGGCAAUGGGGGCAACCCUGACCGAGCAACGCCGCGUGAGUGAAGAAGGUUUUCGGAUCGUAAAGCUCUGUUGUAAGUCAAGAACGAGUGUGAGAGUGGAAAGUUCACACUGUGACGGUAGCUUACCAGAAAGGGACGGCUAACUUCGUGCCAGCAGCCGCCGUAACAC